rnacentral:rRNA from 1 species
GACGAACGCUGGCGGCGUGCUUAACACAUGCAAGUCGAACGGAACGUCCCUGCUUGCUGGGUACUCGAUUGGCGAACGGUUGAGUAACACGUUGGUGAUCUGCCCUGGACUUCGGGAUAAGCCUGGGAAACUGGUUCUAUUACCGGAUCGAAGCCAUUUUUCGUUUGAUUGUUGGAGCGUUUUUUAGGUUUAGGAUGAGCUCGCGGCCUAUCAGCUUGUUGGUGGGGUAAUGGCCUACCAAGGCGGCGACGGGUAGCCGGCCUGAGAGGGUGGAGAGCCACAGCGAGACUGAGAUAGGGCCCAGACCCCGACGGGAGGGAGAAGUGGGGAAUAGUGCAAAAGGGGAGCGAGCCAGAGGCAGAGACGGCGCGGGGGGGAGGGCGGCCAUGGGGUUGUAAACGUAAUGCGCUAGGGACGAAGCUGUUUGUGACGGUACCGAGAUAAGAAGCACCGGCUAACUACGUG